rnacentral:snoRNA from 1 species
GUGCAAACUUGAUCGCUAACUCUGCAUGAUGCUGCAGAAGUGAAGGGAACCAGGUUUGCUGAAUUUAUUGAGGUGAGAGAAAUGUAUUCGCCUCAGAAGCUACUUGAGGUGGUCCAUUCUAUCCUAGUACAAUG